rnacentral:ncRNA from 1 species
CGAAGCCCCCCUCAAGAUGAGAUUUCCCAUUGCGCAAGCAAGUAAGAUCCCUCAAAGACGAUGAGGUAGAUAGGUUCGGGGUGGAAGCGUGGCGACACGUGCAGCUGACGAAUACUAAUCGAUCGAGGACUUAACCAA